rnacentral:rRNA from 1 species
CUGAUGGAGGGGGAUAACUACUGGAAACGGUAGCUAAUACCGCAUAACGUCGCAAGACCAAAGAGGGGGACCUUCGGGCCUCUUGCCAUCGGAUGUGCCCAGAUGGGAUUAGCUAGUAGGUGGGGUAACGGCUCACCUAGGCGACGAUCCCUAGCUGGUCUGAGAGGAUGACCAGCCACACUGGAACUGAGACACGGUCCAGACUCCUACGGGAGGCAGCAGUGGGGAAUAUUGCACAAUGGGCGCAAGCCUGAUGCAGCCAUGCCGCGUGUAUGAAGAAGGCCUUCGGGUUGUAAAGUACUUUCAGCGGGGAGGAAGGGAGUAAAGUUAAUACCUUUGCUCAUUGACGUUACCCGCAGAAGAAGCACCGGCUAACUCCGUGCCAGCAGCCGCGGUAAUACGGAGGGUGCAAGCGUUAAUCGGAAUUACUGGGCGUAAAGCGCACGCAGGCGGUUUGUUAAGUCAGAUGUGAAAUCCCCGGGCUCAACCUGGGAACUGCAUCUGAUACUGGCAAGCUUGAGUC